rnacentral:lncRNA from 1 species
AGACACUGAGGAUCAGGCAGAGAGAGAGGCUCCUGCCAGGCUGAGCUGUGCUCUGAGGAACAUUUCGGGAGCCUCCAGAACUGAAGAGGGGGCCAACUCUCUGGAGAAAAAUGAAUGGAUGUAGGCCCAAAGGAGCCGAAUGUUUUCCUUGGCUGAAUGGCAAGCAAGCACCAAGUGUCCACAGUUUCCGGAGUGUGGAUAUGAACAGCCGUCUUGGGUCCUGAGGUGGAAGCCAUGUGUGGAAGAUGGAGGGCAUCGGUUAGAAGGAGUCUAGUCCCUGAUGGUCACUGAGCUGCAGAACCAGCCUGGGCUGCUUCCUGCUGGAUGUCACUUACUAGAGAGCGAAAUUAAAUGUGCUUCAGCUACUGUUACUUUGGGUUUUCUGUCAUUUGUAGCUGAAAUAAUCCUAAUCAAUAUGAGAUAUAUUAAGUAAACAAAAAUGCAAAUGAAAACGAUUAUGAA